rnacentral:rRNA from 1 species
CUUUGAUCCAGAGAUUUCCGAAUGGGGAAACCCAGCAUGAGUUAUGUCAUGUUAUCGAUAUGUGAAUACAUAGCAUAUCAGAAGGCACACCCGGAGAACUGAAACAUCUUAGUACCCGGAGGAAGAGAAAGAAAAUUCGAUUCCCUUAGUAGCGGCGAGCGAAAUGGGAAGAGCCCAAACCAACAAGCUUGCUUGUUGGGGUUGUAGGACACUCUAUACGGAGUUACAAAGGACGACAUUAGACGAAUCAUCUGGAAAGAUGAAUCAAAGAAGGUAAUAAUCCUGUAGUCGAAAAUGUUGUCUCUCUUGAGUGGAUCCUGAGUACGACGGAGCACGUGAAAUUCCGUCGGAAUCUGGGAGGACCAUCUCCUAAGGCUAAAUACUCUCUAGUGACCGAUAGUGAACCAGUACCGUGAGGGAAAGGUGAAAAGCACCCCGGAAGGGGAGUGAAAUAGAACCUGAAACCGUGUGCUUACAAGUAGUCAGAGCCCGUUAAUGGGUGAUGGCGUGCCUUUUGUAGAAUGAACCGGCGAGUUACGAUUUGAUGCAAGGUUAAGCAGUAAAUGUGGAGCCGUAGCGAAAGCGAGUCUGAAUAGGGCGUUUAGUAUUUGGUCGUAGACCCGAAACCAGGUGAUCUACCCUUGGUCAGGUUGAAGUUCAGGUAACACUGAAUGGAGGACCGAACCGACUUACGUUGAAAAGUGAGCGGAUGAACUGAGGGUAGCGGAGAAAUUCCAAUCGAACCUGGAGAUAGCUGGUUCUCUCCGAAAUAGCUUUAGGGCUAGCCUCAAGUGAUGAUUAUUGGAGGUAGAGCACUGUUUGGACGAGGGGCCCCUCUCGGGUUACCGAAUUCAGACAAACUCCGAAUGCCAAUUAAUUUAACUUGGGAGUCAGAACAUGGGUGAUAAGGUCCGUGUUCGAAAGGGAAACAGCCCAGACCACCAGCUAAGGUCCCAAAAUAUAUGUUAAGUGGAAAAGGAUGUGGCGUUGCCCAGACAACUAGGAUGUUGGCUUAGAAGCAGCCAUCAUUUAAAGAGUGCGUAAUAGCUCACUAGUCGAGUGACACUGCGCCGAAAAUGUACCGGGGCUAAACAUAUUACCGAAGCUGUGGAUUGUCCUUUGGACAAUGGUAGGAGAGCGUUCUAAGGGCGUUGAAGCAUGAUCGUAAGGACAUGUGGAGCGCUUAGAAGUGAGAAUGCCGGUGUGAGUAGCGAAAGACGGGUGAGAAUCCCGUCCACCGAUUGACUAAGGUUUCCAGAGGAAGGCUCGUCCGCUCUGGGUUAGUCGGGUCCUAAGCUGAGGCCGACAGGCGUAGGCGAUGGAUAACAGGUUGAUAUUCCUGUACCACCUAUAAUCGUUUUAAUCGAUGGGGGGACGCAGUAGGAUAGGCGAAGCGUGCGAU